AUAUAGUAAAAUACAGAAAGCUGAAAAGACAAUAUCAAACUGUUCAGACAUUAUUAGUAGUGUAACAACUAAUAUGAAUGUUGAUAUUGAUUCUGCAAAGAAUUGGCUGAUGAAAUGGAAAUCUGAACUGGAUAAUGUCCCUGCAACUAAUUUGAAUUCCGAUGAAUUAUAUGUUGAGAAUUUGUAUGUUAGUCAGAUGAAAAGACACAUAUCCUAGAAACAGGUCCUGCUGAUUCAACAGAAAAGAAAAAGAUUGAGAGAGA